rnacentral:pre_miRNA from 1 species
AUACACCCCAGAGGAGUGAUACUGAGAACACAAGCUGUAAUUAGCUUUGCAAAUAUGGUGUUGCCAUUACUAAUAUUAUGGUGGUCUGUGGCUAAUUAACUCUUGUGUUCUCAGGUCACCCCUUUGGGAAAUAU